rnacentral:rRNA from 1 species
GAUGAACGCUGGCGGCGUGCCUAAUACAUGCAAGUCGAGCGAACGGACGAGAAGCUUGCUUCUCUGAUGUUAGCGGCGGACGGGUGAGUAACACGUGGAUAACCUACCUAUAAGACUGGGAUAACUUCGGGAAACCGGAGCUAAUACCGGAUAAUAUUUUGAACCGCAUGGUUCAAAAGUGAAAGACGGUCUUGCUGUCACUUAUAGAUGGAUCCGCGCUGCAUUAGCUAGUUGGUAAGGUAACGGCUUACCAAGGCAACGAUGCAUAGCCGACCUGAGAGGGUGAUCGGCCACACUGGAACUGAGACACGGUCCAGACUCCUACGGGAGGCAGCAGUAGGGAAUCUUCCGCAAUGGGCGAAAGCCUGACGGAGCAACGCCGCGUGAGUGAUGAAGGUCUUCGGAUCGUAAAACUCUGUUAUUAGGGAAGAACAUAUGUGUAAGUAACUGUGCACAUCUAGACGGUACCUAAUCAGAAAGCCACGGCUAACUACGUG